rnacentral:misc_RNA from 1 species
UCUCCGUUGGUGAACCAGGGGAGGGAUCAUUACCGAGUUGUUCUACUCCCAAACCCCUGUUAACUAAGAGCUUUACUGUUGCUUCGGCGGGUUAACGCCCGGGAAGGCCCAAAAGGCCGCCGGAACCAGGCGCAAGCCGGGGGACCCAAGCUCUUGUAUCUCUUACUUUGAAUGUCUGAGUGGAAUGAUAAACAAAUGACUCAAAACUUUCAACAACGGAUCUCUUGGUUCUG